rnacentral:rRNA from 1 species
AACGUAGGAGGCGAGCGUUAUCCGGAUUCACUGGGCGUAAAGCGCGUGUAGGCGGUUCGGCAAGUCGGUUGUGAAAGCCCCUGGCUCAACUGGGGGAGGUCAGCCGAAACUGCGGGACUGGAGGGUCAGAGAGGAAGGUGGAAUUCCCGGUGUAGCGGUGGAAUGCGUAGAGAUCGGGAGGAACACCAGUGGCGAAAGCGGCCUUCUGGCUGACCACUGACGCUGAGACGCGAAAGCGUGGGUAGCAAACGGG